UACGGUUGCAAAGCUGAAACUUAAAGGAAUUGACGGAAGGGCACCACCAGGAGUGGAGCCUGUGGCUUAAUUUGACUCAACACGGGAAACCUCACCCGGUCCGGACACUGGAAGGAUUGACAGACUAAAGCUCUUUCUUGAUUCAGUGGGUGGUGGUGCAUGGCCGUUCUUAGUUGGUGGAGUGAUUUGUCUGGUUAAUUCCGAUAACGAACGAGACUCUCGCCUGCUAAAUAGUUUUCCAUACGUUACWUUAUGGAACCUAAACUUNNNNNNNNNNGAUACGUACUACUCUGUGCGGUGGAUCACUCGGCUCGUGUGUCGAUGAAGAGCGCAGCUSGCUGCGAGAAGUAAUGUGAAUUGCAGAACCACAUUGAAACAUCGACAUCUUGAACGCACAUGGCGGCCUCCGGGUUACUCCGGAGGCCACGUCUGUCUGAGAGUCGGAAUUGUAGUGCUUUAAAAAUCGGCGGUCACCACCAAAAUAYAUGUCGUAUACAAUAGACACGAUAGGUGGAUGUCCGCGAGGGUUGCUUCUCGGUAGAAAGAUACAUACAAAAAGUAAAAGAGAAGCCGCCGAGUGGCGAGUUGUUGAAAGUAGCCCAGCGAAACAACGGAACAAACCCUCGGAAUAAGAAAGAAAAAGACGUGCUGUACGAAAAAGUGCAACG
rnacentral:rRNA from 1 species